AGCGGCGUACGGGUGAGUAACACGUGGAUAAUCUACCUCUUAGUGGGGAAUAACGAUGGGAAACCGUCGCUAAUACCGCAUAAGCCUGAGAAGGGAAAGCAGCAAUGCGCUGAGAGAGGAGUCCGCGGCCGAUUAGCUAGUUGGUGAGGUAACGGCCCACCAAGGCAAAGAUCGGUAGCCGGCCUGAGAGGGCACACGGCCACACUGGCACUGAAACACGGGCCAGACUCCUACGGGAGGCAGCAGUGGGGAAUCUUGCACAAUGGGGGAAACCCUGAUGCAGCGACGCCGCGUGAGCGAUGAAGCCCUUCGGGGUGUAAAGCUCUUUCGGCAGGGAAGAUUAUGACGGUACCUGCAGAAGCAGCUGCGGCUAACUACGUGCCAGCAGCCGCGGUAAUACGUAGGCAGCGAGCGUUGUUCGGAGUUACUGGGCGUAAAGGGUGUGUAGGCGGUUCUUCAAGUUUGGUGUGAAAUCUCCCGGCUCAACUGGGAGGGUGCGCCGAAUACUGAGGGACUAGAGUACGGGAGAGGAAAGUGGAAUUCCUGGUGUAGCGGUGAAAUGCGUAGAUAUCAGGAGGAACACCGGUGGUGUAAACGGCUUUCUGGACCGUAACUGACGCUGAGACACGAAAGCGUGGGUAGCAAACAGGAUUAGAUACCCUGGUAGUCCACGCCCUAAACGAUGCAUAUUUGGUGUGGGUCAUUCAGUUGAUCCGUGUCGGAGCUAACGCGUUAAAUAUGCCGCCUGGGGAGUACAGUCGCAAGGCUGAAACUCAAAGGAAUUGACGGGGGCCCGCACAAGCGGUGGAGCAUGUGGUUCAAUUCGACGCAACGCGAAGAACCUUACCUGGGCUCGAACGGCUGGUUAACGGCUUUGGAAACAGAGCUACUCCGCAAGGA
rnacentral:rRNA from 1 species